rnacentral:rRNA from 1 species
CCUACGGGUGGCAGCAGUGGGGAAUAUUGGUCAAUGGACGAGAGCCUGAACCAGCAACGCAGCGUGAAGGAAGACUGCCCUCUGGGUUGUAAACUUUUUUUACAUGGGAGUAAAAUGUUCCACGAGUGGGAUUAUGUAUGUACCAUAUGAAUAAGGAUCGGCCAACUCCGUGACAGCAGCCGCGGUAAUACGGAGGAUUCGAGCGUUAUCCGGAUUUAUUGGGUUUAAAGGGAGCGUAGGUGGAUGUUUAAGUCAGUUGUGAAAGGUUGCGGCUCAACCUUAGGAUUGCAGUUGAAACUGGGAGUCUUGAGUGCAGUAGAGGUGGGCGGAAUGCGUGGUGGAGCGGUGAAAUGCUUAGAUAUCAGGAGGAACUCCGAUUGCGAAGGCAGUUCACUGGACUGCAACUGACGCUGAGGCUCGAAAGUGUGGGGAGCAAACAGGAUUAGAUACCCUUGUAGUC